rnacentral:rRNA from 1 species
CCUACGGGUGGCAGCAGUGGGGAAUAUUGCGCAAUGGGCGAAAGCCUGACGCAGCGACGCCGCGUGAGGGACGACGGCCUUCGGGUUGUAAACCUCUUUCAGCAGGGACGAAGGGCAACUGACGGUACCUGCAGAAGAAGCACCGGCUAACUACGUGCCAGCAGCCGCGGUAAUACGUAGGGUGCAAGCGUUGUCCGGAUUUAUUGGGCGUAAAGAGCUCGUAGGCGGCCUGUCACGUCGGAUGUGAAAACCCGGGGCUCAACCCCGGGCCUGCAUUCGAUACGGGCAGGCUAGAGGAUGGUAGGGGAGACUGGAAUUCCUGGUGUAGCGGUGAAAUGCGCAGAUAUCAGGAGGAACACCGGUGGCGAAGGCGGGUCUCUGGGCCAUUCCUGACGCUGAGGAGCGAAAGCGUGGGGAGCGAACAGGAUUAGAUACCCCAGUAGUC